rnacentral:ncRNA from 1 species
UCCUUAUAAAGAGUCGGGGGAGGAAACUGGUCCUAAGAUCCCGCAGCAACCUCUACUAAGAAGGUGCUCAGUCCAGCAGGCUUGUUCUGAAAGAUAAGGA